AUUGAACGCUGGCGGCAUGCCUUACACAUGCGAGUCGAACGGUAACAGGUCUUCGGAUGCUGACGAGUGGCGAACGGGUGAGUAAUACAUCGGAACGUGCCCGAUCGUGGGGGAUAACGGAGCGAAAGCUUUGCUAAUACCGCAUACGAUCUACGGAUGAAAGCAGGGGACCGCAAGGCCUUGCGCGGACGGAGCGGCCGAUGGCGGAUUAGGUAGUUGGUGGGAUAAAAGCUUACCAAGCCGACGAUCUGUAGCUGGUCUGAGAGGACGACCAGCCACACUGGGACUGAGACACGGCCCAGACUCCUACGGGAGGCAGCAGUGGGGAAUUUUGGACAAUGGGCGAAAGCCUGAUCCAGCCAUGCCGCGUGCAGGAUGAAGGCCUUCGGGUUGUAAACUGCUUUUGUACGGAACGAAAAGACUCUUUCUAAUAAAGAGGGUCCAUGACGGUACCGUAAGAAUAAGCACCGGCUAACUACGUG
rnacentral:rRNA from 1 species